GACGAACGCUGGCGGCGUGCUUAACACAUGCAAGUCGAACGGAAAGGCCCUGCUUUUGUGGGGUGCUCGAGUGGCGAACGGGUGAGUAACACGUGAGUAACCUGCCCUUGACUUUGGGAUAACUUCAGGAAACUGGGGCUAAUACCGGAUAGGAGCUCCUGCUGCAUGGUGGGGGUUGGAAAGUUUCGGCGGUUGGGGAUGGACUCGCGGCUUAUCAGCUUGUUGGUGGGGUAGUGGCUUACCAAGGCUUUGACGGGUAGCCGGCCUGAGAGGGUGACCGGCCACAUUGGGACGGAGAGACGGCCCAGACGCCUACGGGAGGCAGCAGUGGGGAAUAUUGCACAAGGGGCGGAAGCCGGAGGCAGCAACGCCGCGUGCGGGAGGACGGCCUUCGGGUGGUAAACCGCUUUCGCCUGUGACGAAGCGUGAGUGACGGUAAUGGGGAAAGAAGCACCGGCGAACUACGU
rnacentral:rRNA from 1 species